rnacentral:lncRNA from 13 species
UACAAAGCAGAGUUGUAAUAGUUCUCAAGUGAUUCUGUCUAUAAUCCUUGACAGAGAUGCUUGAAAAUGACUGGCUGGGAACCUCAACAAAGUCAUAAUUGAUCUCAAUACAUAAGUGGGUUUUGCCCAGAAGAGCAAGUGCCCCAGAGAAGCAGUAGAAGAUGACUUGACUCCUCAACUGCCGGCUGGCUCUAUCUCUCAGCAAAUCUUCCUAUACCACUGGACACAUGGAAACUUUGGAUCUCUACACAUCAAUCAAAGGGAACAAGCAACUGUAGGGAAAGUAAAAAGUCUAACAAUUCUUCUUCACAGGGCUUUUUGCUCAAUCUUCAUGAGAAAAGAGAGCCAGAAGACACAGACAAAGAUGAGAAGAGCUAUUCUUAGGAGAAAGCCAGAUUUCAGGACCCCUUUGAAUGUUAUAAACCAUGCACAACUGAACUUAUAGAGGACCCAACCAACAUUAGGCAUCAUCUUGGAAUUUAUCUAAAAUAAAGGAAAAAUUAUUACACCUUACA